UAUGCAUAAAAAAAUUUCGCAAGUAUCACAAUAAAAUUUAGUUUUUUUAUCACAUAUUUUUAAUUUGCAUCUUACAGAAUUUUUUAUCUCAGAAUCUAUUUCAGGAAAAUGUUCGCGUUUUUUUCUAUUAGUUGGAUUUGGAGAUAAAGAGUCAACCAUGAUAUUUCCUGCUGGGUUUUUUCUAGUAGCCAUACUUCGUGGCAUGUCUAUUGCAGAAUCAGGCUGUCUUGUUAGCAAGUAUGUGGCAAUCUCUAUUUUGGAUUCAAGAAAUUGCUGAACUUUUCGGGGAUGUGUUUUAAAAAAUGCUUUAUCUGUCCGAUAAAGAACCCAAGAGUUUGACAUUGCCAAAUCAAAAAAAAAAUGAAAUUUGUUCUUACUGUCCAUUUUCUUGACCUUACUUGAAUUCUGUAGUAGCUGAUCAUUCUAUCUAUGAGAUCAAUUCCACCCAUGCAGUCAUUGUAUUUUGCCACAAUUUCAGGUCUUGAGACUUGGAGUUAUUUCCCGUCUUUUUUGACCAUCGCUUGCACUCAUUGAUUGGUUGACUUCCUAAAGCCGUAGAUGCCAUUAGAACAGAUUUUAAAUCAUACCAUUGCACAACAACCAACUUGUUAUCCUCCCUUUUAAACUGUUCCGAGGUUCCACGAGCCAUUUUUGCCAACGUUUUGUCAGGUGUCAAGUGAACAGCUGCUGGUACACGUGACUUCAUUAUGGUACCAGUACUAUACAAAUUCCGUUCAUGGAGGUAUUCAAGAAGUGGAAUGGUUGUAAAAUAUCUGUCGUGGUAAAUAUGUGAUCCUGGAAGUAAAGUCUCUAUUAAUGCCAAGAUUUUUAGCUGUAUUUUCCAAAAAUGUAUUUUUGCCUUGCUCCUUAUCGCAAAAAAUCUGUCUCUGGCCAUAACAUCUGCAAUCGCUGAAACUCUAGUUGUUUUGGCCCAGUACAGUCUAAUCCUUGGAUACUUUAAACAGGACAUUAGGCAUACUACGCCAAAAAAUUGUUUUAUCUCAUUUAACGUAAGUUUCAGAGAUAAUCCUUUUAAUUCAACAUAUCUAGCAUUUGUACAGUCACACAUUGUUUGAAAAAGUUCAUCAUCAAUAUACAUUGCGAGGUAGUCUUUUGCGGCCCAUGUACUUCAACUUUCACAAUCAGAUUCAGCAGGAGAGGAAUCUCCAAAUUCCUGAGGUGAGAAUACAGGAUUUUUCUUCCAAACAGCUCUCCUUGAAGAAGUUGGAACUUCAUUGGAAGUUGUUAAAUUAUUUUUAACGACACUAAGAGGAAGGUUGUCCUCCUCAUCUUCACUGCUAGACUCAACAUUUUCAGCCUCAUCUUCUUGCUGAUUGUUUUCAAUAUCCAGAUCUUCAGUUUUCCCUUCGUCGUCGGACAUUCCACAGUCUGAGUCGUCCUGGAUAAGAAUCACAAUUUUCUCUAACUUUUCGUCGUCUUCUCCAGGCCUCAAAAACUAUUUUCGGCCGAAUACAGCUAAAACAAGCAAAAAGACGGUAAUAACAAAUUGUGGUGAUUAAGUCCCAAUGUCUAUUAAAAUGGACAGGUAAUGUUUAGGCAGAUUAAAGAAAAAACAAAGGACCAAUAAAAAAACUAUUUACGUUAAAUUGUUAAAUAAACAUUAUAUUUUAAAUUUCUCUAAAAUGAACAAUGCGCACGUCAUGAUUCCGCCAACAUAGUGCUUCGGUGCGGAUCGUACUUUUUUUUUACCAAAGAGCAAUAGUAAUUUAACGGACAUUAAAAAUUAUAAUUAUGAAAACAAAAAACAUUGUAAUUACAUAUAUACUUACAAUCUGUCCUUUUUUCGGACCUGGGCGUUUUCUAACUGCAUUUAACCCAAGUCGGCCUUUUAAUCCUUUUCUUUUAGCAUCCAUAUUUUACAAGUAUUUCAAAAAAAAUACUAAUGAAAACACAGGAACACUUUUCAGUUUUUCAGUAUGUAACCACCAAAAUAAAAUGCAAAAAAUGAUCGCAACGAAACCACAUGGCUACAUCCCGGAACUAUCACGCACUAAACAAAAAAAAAACCCAAAAUGCAUAUAUAAUAGCAUUAUUAGGUAGUAAUGCAGGUAUAUAAUUAUACUUGCAUAACCUGCACCAAAUUUAUGUAGGCCAACCCUGAAAUUACAUCGGAUGAAAUUACAUCGGAUCCCGGCGUAAGAGGGUGCCUGAAAUUUUAUCAACCGUUCUAAAAUAGACAUUUAUUACUACCGCGUCUCUCACCGCUGCCCCUCAGCUGUGUGGCUAGAAGAUAGGUAGCGGAGCCUUAAUGUUAUUGUCAAUUGCAUCCACCGUAAUUAUUAUACUCUUAUAUGUAUUUUACUGCAAAGAAGGGAAAAUAAAGUAAAAAUAGUUGGCUAACGUAACAUGAUUUUUGUUCGGGUUUUUAAUCGUUUAAAUUAAAAUUCAUCGGAUCCGCCACUACUUUUGGUUGUCAAUGUUGUCAUGUCAUCAACAAGGUAAAAGGUAAAAGAUACAGGAGAGAAUGUACAUAGUACAUAUAAUUAAAAUUGCUGUGCCAAGUUUAGUACAAGUACAAGUUCAAGUACUCCUAGUGAAGGGGCAUCUUGUACGUAAUUAUCAAAAUCUGAAAAAUUUAUAGUUUUUGCAAAAAAUCGAAAUUUCGGUUUUUUACCAUUAACAUGUACUUUAUUAGAUCGUAAAUUUUGCAUAACUUUUUUGUUAUUAAAGAUCGAGCUUUCAUUUAAAAACUGUCAAGUACUCCUAGUAAAGGGGCACCUUGCACGUAAUAAUCAAAAACUGAAAAAAUUAUAGUUUUUGAGAAAAAUCGAAAUUUUGGUUUUUUACCAUUAACAUGUACUUUAUUAGAUCGUAAAUUUUGCAUAACUUUUUGGUAUUAAAGAUAGAGGUUUUUUUAUUUAAAAACUGUCAAGUGCUCCUUGUGAAGGGGCAUCUUGUACGUAAUUAUCAAAAACUGUAUCUGCCCAGUGGUUUAAUUUGUGGAGUAGUAGGUAUAAGCUUUAACCAUCCAGUAAGGCUUUAGGUCCGAAUACUAGUGGAAAUUGUGAAAUCAUCAGGAAAUCAAUGAAUAAUUACUUCCAGGCUGUUGAAAAAUCAUUGAGUUUCCUACACUCUUUCUUUGAAAUAACCCCGUGAGAAAAAAAUCAAGCGGAGCUAAAUCAGGCGAACGCAGAGGCCAUUUAGUUGGUUUCGUCUAUAUCUGCCUGUUUUAAUAUUAAAUAAUGUAAGUGGCCGUUUUAAACUUAGGAAAUCAAAGUGAUUAACUAUCCCUAAAUUUUUACCUGUCCUUCAUAAAUUCAUAGUAAGUCUAGACAAGGAUGGGACAUGCAGUUUCCUAGUGGAACCUUUACCAUAUGCAAAUAGUGGCAUAGUACCAUAUGCAAAAAGUAACGUACAACUUACUUAAUGUAAACUUUCUAUAUUUCAGAACUAAACCCUGACGGACCGGAACUCUACUUGGAAUUUAUCCUAAAAAUGUGCUGCAAACAGAAACUUUCAGCAAUAACAGAAAACCCCAAAAACGUCCCGUACAGCCCACAGGAGCUGCAGGACACUCACGUUACAGUUAGUGUGGUCUUUAGUAACAAUUUGAUAUGCGAACGCUUUUUGUAGUUUAAAGAACUCACUGAGUUAGAGUGAGUUUUGUGAACCACGGUCCUAGACCAGUUUAAGGGGUGAACCAAGAAUCUUUAACAAGAGAUUUUGACUGCUACUGCAAUAAUAUUAAUGAUAUUUCUUUGGGAGGUUAUAAGGGGGUUCUUAAGGAUCAUUUUGAUACAUAAAGCACAUUUUUAGCUUAAAUAGUUCACGAGCUACAGCACUUAAGGUUUUCAGGACACUAAUAUCUUGCAGACAUAUGCUCCAGGCAGGAUAAUCUAAAAACAAUUUAAGGCAUUUGUAUGGGGUUUUCACUCACAGUUGGAGCCCAUUUUUGGUUCUGCUCGGAUUUUCUUAUAACCCGGUAUUUUCGUGAUCUACUUGGUGAGAACAAUCCGCUGGUAUAGUUAGUUCGAAUUCGAAAAAAAAAAUUUCUGAAAAUAAUCCAAACGGAGGGUAUACCCGAAAAAUGAAAAAACCCAAACUUUGAAGGCCGAUAUCUCGGCUUCUAUGGGAGCUAUCGGGAAAAUUCCAACGGUUUCGUCUUAGUUUCGUCAUUUUCAAUCCAACGAGACCAUCCGCAAAAUCGUAGCUUUUAUAAUAGGGAGUUCUUGGAGAUCAUUUUGAUGCAUAAAUUAUAUUAUUUGCUAUUUAAAUUAUAUUUGAUGCAUACAUUAUAUUAAUUAAAUUAAAUUUAAUUAAUCACCUAAAUUAAGCCUCUUUGACUCUCGCAUCACUCGUUCACAUCUGACCGAACCCUUUCCACUCUAUUCCAGGUCGUUUCUGAUCUGUUGCGACCUGACGACUCAUGAUGGCCUCGAACCUUUUAUCCUUCAGCUCUCUCUGCACCGACCGAGCAGUUGGUCCUGACUGCUCUUUCUAAAAAUGACCGAAAGAGUGGUGGGGGACGUAUGUCGAGACAUGCAGCACACUUUGUCUUACUUUGAAACUCACGUUUAUUUUACUAGAAUAAAAUAUACAUUUUCAUAUUCAUUUAACUAAUUGUAACUUAUUCUUUUUAAUAAUAGGUCUUAAAAGCUAGGCGGACUAAAAACUAAUACUAAUAAUAUGUACAACACAAUACUAAUACUUUACUGACUGCUGCUUCUCGUGGGCCCUGGGCUGGCAGACUUGGUGUUGAGGGAGGGUGUGCUGACCUGGACGGAGGUGGGGGGUCGGAGCAGGGGAUCAGUCUCGCCGUAUUGUGUCGCCGGGGAGGUUGUACGAAGCGUUGGGGGGGACUCGGGUGGAGUGAGAGAUCCGGAUCAGGGGGUUGCGGUGCUCCAGAGCAGUGGUCAGGUACUUGUCCUUCAACUUUGUCAGGUGAUCUGCCAAGGGUUGAGCUUGGAGAUCAUGCAUCUGACAUAAUCCGGAAAGCCCUGUUUUCUACUGCUUGGAGCCUCUGCAAGUGGCGAGGUUAGAUGUCUGCCCAAGUGGGGGAGGCGUAGGAGAUCGCUUUGUCUUGGAUCGUCUCCUUUAUGGGUCUAUCUAUUCGGUGAGAUUUAAUACCACAGGGGACGUUAGUGGUCGCUUUCUUUACCUACUUGAUCAAGGACAAUGUAGAGAGCAAACAGGCGGUUUUGACAGAAAAUCUACUGGAGAUGAUUUUGGAUGUCCAGCUGGAUCAAAGCUGCUUGGUGCGGUAUGCAGGGGGGUACUGGGAAUUUUGAUGAACUGCUUGGAUUAUCACAAUUUGGGGAACGAAAGCGAGCUGAUCCUGGAAUGUUUGCAAUCCUUCUCGAAACUCCUAAACAGUUUGCCUUUCAAGUUACCGUAGUAGUGAGGAUCAAGUUGCUAAUCAGUCAAGAGGAUCCACGUCUAAGGAGAUCUUCGAUCCAGUUAUUAGGAGAUCUGUCAACGUCCCUUGGUCAGGAGACCAAUUUGGAGGCAUUCAAGGAGCAGAUCCAAGGGAACCUCAUCACUUUACUCUUGCAUCUAUGCGAUCCAGACGUGUAUGUUGUCAAGGCCUGUAAAAGUACGAUCCAGAAGGUCGGCCCUUAUCUGGAUUGUCCGGAGGUAAACCGCAUGAUCCAGGAGUGUUGGGCGACGACACCGACUUGAUGUUCACGGAUUUUAUUGGGGAGUUAAUUAAACGCAUGGGAUUUAUGGAAUCAAUGAUAUCAAGGGUAUUUGGGGGUCAAAUCGAGGACGAAUUGGUUUAAAGGUCGUCUCUAAGGGCCAAAUACCGCCCUUGUCACCAGUUUGUUGCGUCGAACUACUACCCGAGAAUAAACCGAAAGUUUCACUGGAAACUGUCUGUGAUAAACUGAACAGACUGAUGCAAGACGAGUCAGAAGAAGUUAGGAUUAAGGCAGGUCAAGCUAUAUCGUGUUUAUUUUUAUAAUUAUUGUAGAACGGAAUGUGCUAAGGGGAUACUAUGAUUAAGUCUUUUUUGUCAGAUUUUAGUAAGAAAAUUAAAAA